GACGAACGCUGGCGGCGUGCUUAACACAUGCAAGUCGAACGCUGAAGCACCAGCUUGCUGGUGUGGAUGAGUGGCGAACGGGUGAGUAAUACGUGAGUAACCUGCCCUUGACUCUGGGAUAAGCCCGGGAAACUGGGUCUAAUACUGGAUGCUACAUGUCACCGCAUGGUGGUGUGUGGAAAGGGUUUACUGGUCUUGGAUGGGCUCACGGCCUAUCAGCUUGUUGGUGAGGUAAUGGCUCACCAAGGCGACGACGGGUAGCCGGCCUGAGAGGGUGACCGGCCACACUGGGACUGAGACACGGCCCAGACUCCUACGGGAGGCAGCAGUGGGGAGUAUUGCACAAUGGGCGAAAGCCUGAUGCAGCGACGCCGCGUGAGGGAUGACGGCCUUCGGGUUGUAAACCUCUUUCAGCAGGGAAGAAGCCACAAGUGACGGUACCUGCAGAAGAAGCGCCGGCUAACUACGUGCCAGCAGCCGCCGUAA
rnacentral:rRNA from 1 species